rnacentral:rRNA from 1 species
UUAAGCGACUAAGCGUACACGGUGGAUGCCCUGGCAGUCAGAGGCGAUGAAGGACGUGCUAAUCUGCGAAAAGCGUCGGUAAGGUGAUAUGAACCGUUAUAACCGGCGAUGUCCGAAUGGGGAAACCCAGUGCAAUUCGUUGCACUAUCGUUAACUGAAUACAUAGGUUAACGAGGCGAACCGGGGGAACUGAAACAUCUAAGUACCCCGAGGAAAAGAAAUCAACCGAGAUUCCCCCAGUAGCGGCGAGCGAACGGGGAGCAGCCCAGAGUCUGAAUCAGCUUGUGUGUUAGUGGAACGGUCUGGAAAGUCCGACGGUACAGGGUGAUAGUCCCGUACACCAAAAUGCACAGGCUGUGAACUCGAAGAGUAGGGCGGGACACGUGGUAUCCUGUCUGAAUAUGGGGGGACCAUCCUCCAAGGCUAAAUACUCCUGACUGACCGAUAGUGAACCAGUACCGUGAGGGAAAGGCGAAAAGAACCCCGGCGAGGGGAGUGAAAAAGAACCUGAAACCGUGUACGUACAAGCAGUGGGAGCACCUUCGGGUGUGACUGCGUACCUUUUGUAUAAUGGGUCAGCGACUUAUAUUCUGUAGCAAGGUUAACCGUAUAGGGGAGCCGCAGGGAAACCGAGUCUUAACUGGGCGUUAAGUUGCAGGGUAUAGACCCGAAACCCGGUGAUCUAGCCAUGGGCAGGUUGAAGGUUGGGUAACACUAACUGGAGGACCGAACCGACUAAUGUUGAAAAAUUAGCGGAUGACUUGUGGCUGGGGGUGAAAGGCCAAUCAAACCGGGAGAUAGCUGGUUCUCCCCGAAAGCUAUUUAGGUAGCGCCUCGUGAACUCAUCUUCGGGGGUAGAGCACUGUUUCGGCUAGGGGGUCAUCCCGACUUACCAACCCGAUGCAAACUACGAAUACCGAAGAAUGUUAUCACGGGAGACACACGGCGGGUGCUAACGUCCGUCGUGAAGAGGGAAACAACCCAGACCGCCAGCUAAGGUCCCAAAGUCAUGGUUAAGUGGGAAACGAUGUGGGAAGGCACAGACAGCCAGGAUGUUGGCUUAGAAGCAGCCAUCAUUUAAAGAAAGCGUAAUAGCUCACUGGUCGAGUCGGCCUGCGCGGAAGAUGUAACGGGGCUAAACCAUGCACCGAAGCUGCGGCAGCGACACUAUGUGUUGUUGGGUAGGGGAGCGUUCUGUAAGCCUGCGAAGGUGACCUGUGAGGCAUGCUGGAGGUAUCAGAAGUGCGAAUGCUGACAUAAGUAACGAUAAAGCGGGUGAAAAGCCCGCUCGCCGGAAGACCAAGGGUUCCUGUCCAACGUUAAUCGGGGCAGGGUGAGUCGACCCCUAAGGCGAGGCCGAAAGGCGUAGUCGAUGGGAAACAGGUUAAUAUUCCUGUACUUGGUGUUACUGCGAAGGGGGGACGGAGAAGGCUAUGUUAGCCGGGCGACGGUUGUCCCGGUUUAAGCAUGUAGGCUGGUUAUCCAGGCAAAUCCGGAUAAUCAAGGCUGAGGUGUGAUGACGAGGCACUACGGUGCUGAAGUAACAAAUGCCCUGCUUCCAGGAAAAGCCUCUAAGCAUCAGGUAACAUCAAAUCGUACCCCAAACCGACACAGGUGGUCAGGUAGAGAAUACCAAGGCGCUUGAGAGAACUCGGGUGAAGGAACUAGGCAAAAUGGUGCCGUAACUUCGGGAGAAGGCACGCUGGUGUGUAGGUGAAGCCCCUGCGGGUGGAGCUGAGACCAGUCGAAGAUACCAGCUGGCUGCAACUGUUUAUUAAAAACACAGCACUGUGCAAACACGAAAGUGGACGUAUACGGUGUGACGCCUGCCCGGUGCCGGAAGGUUAAUUGAUGGGGUUAUCCGUAAGGAGAAGCUCUUGAUCGAAGCCCCGGUAAACGGCGGCCGUAACUAUAACGGUCCUAAGGUAGCGAAAUUCCUUGUCGGGUAAGUUCCGACCUGCACGAAUGGCGUAAUGAUGGCCAGGCUGUCUCCACCCGAGACUCAGUGAAAUUGAACUCGCUGUGAAGAUGCAGUGUACCCGCGGCAAGACGGAAAGACCCCGUGAACCUUUACUAUAGCUUGACACUGAACAUUGAGCCUUGAUGUGUAGGAUAGGUGGGAGGCUUUGAAGCGUGGACGCCAGUCUGCGUGGAGCCAACCUUGAAAUACCACCCUUUAAUGUUUGAUGUUCUAACGUUGGCCCCUUACCGGGGUUGCGGACAGUGUCUGGUGGGUAGUUUGACUGGGGCGGUCUCCUCCCAAAGCGUAACGGAGGAGCACGAAGGUUAGCUAAUCCUGGUCGGACAUCAGGAGGUUAGUGCAAUGGCAUAAGCUAGCUUGACUGCGAGCGUGACGGCGCGAGCAGGUGCGAAAGCAGGUCAUAGUGAUCCGGUGGUUCUGAAUGGAAGGGCCAUCGCUCAACGGAUAAAAGGUACUCCGGGGAUAACAGGCUGAUACCGCCCAAGAGUUCAUAUCGACGGCGGUGUUUGGCACCUCGAUGUCGGCUCAUCACAUCCUGGGGCUGAAGUAGGUCCCAAGGGUAUGGCUGUUCGCCAUUUAAAGUGGUACGCGAGCUGGGUUUAGAACGUCGUGAGACAGUUCGGUCCCUAUCUGCCGUGGGCGCUGGAGAAUUGAGGGGGGCUGCUCCUAGUACGAGAGGACCGGAGUGGACGCAUCACUGGUGUUCGGGUUGUCAUGCCAAUGGCACUGCCCGGUAGCUAAAUGCGGAAGAGAUAAGUGCUGAAAGCAUCUAAGCACGAAACUUGCCCCGAGAUGAGUUCUCCCUGAGACUUUAAGUCUCCUGAAGGAACGUUGAAGACGACGACGUUGAUAGGCCGGGUGUGUAAGCGCAGCGAUGCGUUGAGCUAACCGGUACUAAUGAACCGUGAGGCUUAACCUU